AACCCCUGAGCCAUCCCUCCAGCCCCCAAGAACAAUGAUUAUUUGUGUUCAAUAACAGUUCAGAUAAUGUAUUAUUUGAAAGGUUUCUGAAACCUCUGACCAACAGGUCACAGGGAGGUAUCCUACAUAGAACAGCUUUUGAAACAACGUCGUCUACUCUGAGACUUUAAUUACUGAGUGAAGAAAAGAAAAAGUCAUUGCCAACAAGCGAAUUGUUAAGAAGGAUGUUGCAGCUUUUACCUCUCCGUCCAGCAGAGCCCAGUUUACCGUGUGCCUGUAGAGCUUCCUUGACCAUAAAGGUCAUACUCCUUGUAAAGGACGUAAGCUUUUAAGAGAUUGGGCAGCGGAAGAAACGACAUGAAGACCGGGCAGCGCAGGCGUAACCGUCCCAUGCACUUCCGGAUCUUGAGGCGGCAUAAGUGUUGUAGAGAACGGGGGUUUGCUAAAAAAAAAAAAAAAAAAAAAAAAAAAAGAUAGC
rnacentral:lncRNA from 1 species